rnacentral:rRNA from 1 species
CCUACGGGUGGCAGCAGUGAGGAAUAUUGGGCAAUGGGCGCGAGCCUGACCCAGCCACGCCGCGUGAAGGAAGAAGGCUUUCGGGUUGUAAACUUCUUUUCUCAGGGGCGAAGAAAGUGACGGUACCUGAGGAAUAAGCCACGGCUAACUACGUGCCAGCAGCCGCGGUAAUACGGAGGUCGCAAGCGUUAUCCGGAUUUAUUGGGUUUAAGGGGCGUGUAGGCGGGAGCGUAAGUCAGAUGUGAAAACUCAGGGCUCAACCCUGAGCCUGCAUUUGAAACUGUGUUUCUUGAGUGCUGGAGAGGUAAUCGGAAUUCGGGGUGUAGCGGUGAAAUGCGUAGAUAUACGGAGGAACACCAGUGGCGAAGGCGGAUUGCUGGACAGUAACUGACGCUGAGGCGCGAAAGUGUGGGUAUCAAACAGGAUUAGAUACCCGGGUAGUC